UGGGGAAUUUUGGACAAUGGGCGAAAGCCUGAUCCAGCAAUGCCGCGUGUGUGAAGAAGGCCUUCGGGUUGUAAAGCACUUUUGUCCGGAAAGAAAUCCUUGGCUCUAAUACAGUCGGGGGAUGACGGUACCGGAAGAAUAAGCACCGGCUAACUACGUGCCAGCAGCCGCGGUAAUACGUAGGGUGCAAGCGUUAAUCGGAAUUACUGGGCGUAAAGCGUGCGCAGGCGGUUUGCUAAGACCGAUGUGAAAUCCCCGGGCUCAACCUGGGAACUGCAUUGGUGACUGGCAGGCUAGAGUAUGGCAGAGGGGGGUAGAAUUCCACGUGUAGCAGUGAAAUGCGUAGAGAUGUGGAGGAAUACCGAUGGCGAAGGCAGCCCCCUGGGCCAAUACUGACGCUCAUGCACGAAAGCGUGGGGAGCAAAACAGGAUUAGAUACCCUGGUAGUCCACGCCCUAAAACGAUGUCAACUAGUUGUUGGGGGAUUCAUUUUCCUUAGUAACGUAGCUAACGCGUGAAGUUGACCGCCUGGGGAGUACGGUCGCAAGAUUAAAACUCAAAUGAAUUGACGGGGUCAUAGCUGUUUCCU
rnacentral:rRNA from 1 species